ACCAGCUCACCCUUCAGUGUUUUUCCUGGGCGAAGCCAAGCACUGCUGGGGGCUACGCUCCUCUUCAUGAUGCCCUUUAGGGUCCCACUGGUGAUGCUCUGAAUGGUAAUCACAAGGGUUCUCAUAAGAGGAACGCAGGUUGGUGAAAGGGAGAGAACGGAUUGAGGGGAUGUGACCAGGGAGGAAGGAGAAGGGUAUGUGAAGACAGACAGCAGGAAAGAGGCAUUGGAAGAUGCCACGCUGGGCCUAGCAGAUUUGGGAGCCACAAGCCAAGGAGAGCAGGCAGCCCUAGACAUUGAAAAAGGCAAGGAAGGGGAUUCCUCACAGAUCCCCCAGGAGGAUCACAGCCCUGCCGACGGCUGGAGUAGGACUUCUGACCUCCAGGACCAUCAGAUAAUGGAUUUGUGUUUUUAAAGGCCGUAAGUGCGUGGUGAUUUGCUACAGCCACAGCAGGAAACAGAGUCAUGCCUAAGACGCUUUCUUCCCUUCAGUGAGACUAAUGGCUCCCUCCAACCCCUCCAGACCUGGUUUUAUUUGUGACUUUCAUCUGAACUGACCUCUUAAACACAAGGAGCAAAUGUUAUCUCUGAUCUAUUCAGUUAAAAUGUAACUUGCACUCUAUUGCCUCUUCUCUUCAACUGUGCUCGAAUACUCCUGAGUCUGGCUGUGCUGCCGAAGCCAUUUCCCCGGGGAGAAAGCAGUCUCUUCCGACCGCCCGAACAGAGUGGGAAUGGAAGAUGCAUUCUCCACCAGGGAUGAAUCGGAAAACUGACAGCCCCAAGAUAAGAGAAAGGAGAUCCAAAGCAUUUACAACUGCAGACGUGCUCUUCGCAUGUAGUGGUGAAUAGGGCUGAUUUGCAUUUAGAUUCCUGGCCUCAUAAAAAGUUCCUGAAAUGGAAAUUUCCCAAGUGGAUCUUGGCAAAAGGAAGUUUCCACCAGGAGUAAGCAAGAAAAAGAAAAAGGAAAACACACACACACACACACACACACACACACACAACUCAGAACAAAAGAUCAUUCACACUUUAUGAUCUUUCCCUUUAUAUUAAAUAAAAGCAACAGGGUGUGCAAAA